UACGUAGGGGGCAAGCGUUGUCCGGAUUUAUUGAGCGUAAAGAGCGUGUAGGCGGUCAGGUAGGUCCGUUGUGAAAACUCGAGGCUCAACCUCGAGACGCCGAUGGAAACCAUCUGACUAGAGUCCGGAAGAGGAGAGUGGAAUUCCUGGUGUAGCGGUGAAAUGCGCAGAUAUCAGGAAGAACACCCGUGGCUAAGGCGGCUCUCUAGUACGGUACUGACGCUGAGACGCGAAAGCGUGGGGAGCGAACAGG
rnacentral:rRNA from 1 species